UACGAAGGGGACUAGCGUUGUUCGGAUUUACUGGGCGUAAAGCGCGCGUAGGCGGAUCGCUAAGUCAGGGGUGAAAUCCCAGGGCUCAACCCUGGAACUGCCUUUGAUACUGACGAUCUGGAGAUCGGGAGAGGUUGGUGGAAUUCCAAGUGUAGAGGUGAAAUUCGUAGAUAUUCGGAGGAACACCAGAAGCGAAAGGCGGCCAACUGGCCCGAUACUGACGCUGAGGCGCGAAAGGCGUGGGGAGCAAACAGG
rnacentral:rRNA from 1 species